GACGAACGCUGGCGGCGUGCCUAAUACAUGCAAGUCGAGCGCAGGAGGCCGUCUGAACCCUUCGGGGGGACGACGGUGGAAUGAGCGGCGGACGGGUGAGUAACACGUAAAGAACCUGCCCAUAGGUCUGGGAUAACCACGAGAAAUCGGGGCUAAUACCGGAUGUGUCAUCGGACCGCAUGGUCCGCUGAUGAAAGGCGCCCCGGCGUCGCCCAUGGAUGGCUUUGCGGUGCAUUAGCUAGUUGGUGGGGUAACGGCCCACCAAGGCGACGAUGCAUAGCCGACCUGAGAGGGUGAUCGGCCACACUGGGACUGAGACACGGCCCAGACUCCUACGGGAGGCAGCAGUAGGGAAUCUUCCACAAUGGACGAAAGUCUGAUGGAGCAACGCCGCGUGAACGAUGAAGGCUUUCGGGUCGUAAAGUUCUGUUGUAAGGGAAGAACAAGUGCCGCAGGCAAUGGCGGCACCUUGACGGUACCUUGCGAGAAAGCCACGGCUAACUACGUGCCAGCCGCCGCCGUAAUAC
rnacentral:rRNA from 1 species